AUGUUCGGUCGAACAAAACCGCCGCCCCGAUCGAUCCGAUCCUACCCUAGCCAGUUUUCCCCCACGCGCCGUUCUCUCCUCCUCGUCUCUGUCCCGCAGCGGCGAAACGGGGGCAGCGCCCCGGCCGCCCACGACGGCGUGGACCGGCCACCGCACCGUGCCCGGUCGCCGGCGACGGCGACGAGCGGCACCGGGCCGCGCUGGCCUCUUCUCUUUCUUACCUCCUUCAAGUUCUCCCUUGUCCAACAACAGAGAGCGAGAGAGAGAGAGCAGAGAGGCGCAGCGGCUUUCCUGAUGCGGCGGGUUGGGGCCACGCCGGCCGCCGGCGACGGCGUCGAGCCGCGCCGCGCGAGCCUGCGUUUCCUUUUGGCCCUCCCCCUUCUUUCCUCCUCCUGUGACAGAGAGGGCGAGAGAGAGGCGCGACCGAGCCCUCUGGUCUCCUACGCGCCCGCUCCUCCUCUGCUCCGCUUGGAGGCGACGACCGUGGCGCCAUUGCCAUCCCCUUCGCCGGCUGCGCGUUCGCCUUGCCGUGAGCGCGUCGCCGUCGAACGGUUUGGCCGCGGUGCCCUUUGCCCCGGUCGGGGUAGAGUUCUUCUUCCCGAAACCUCAGCAUGCCGAUGCGAGUCGGAAUCGAGAGGAACGGCGCGGCCGUUGCGGUGGCGCAACUUUUCCGACGAGGAGUUUUUUUUUCUUUCCCUCUUUCUGCUUCGAUUCGAGAUCAAAAUCAUAUCUGUGAUCGUUUUCUUUUCUCUUUUGAUUCGUUUCCGAAUCUUUCUUUCCCAACUUGAUGUAAUCACUAGACAGGCUCUGGAUACCAUUGAUAGACUUACUGGAUCGACUAGGAGUAGAUCAGUGGGAUAUUCUUUGUAUUCAGGUGUUUACCUUCUUGUGGCUCGAGGACGUUCCGAUGCCGGCCAUGGUGACGGUGGCCGGUGGUUGUGGAUACGGCGGUGA
rnacentral:rRNA from 1 species